AUUACUUCUAAGGUGUGCUAUAAAAAUUUAGCAGCUAUUCAUUUUUAUUCUAGGUUUGCAUGAGUUUGUCCUUUAAAUUUACAGUUUCUUUAAAUUUACUGCUCACAUUGAAACGUCUAGCAUCUUUGAUGCAUCAUCAGCAUGGCAUGCCCUUUAAACUGAUGAAAUUGAAGAAUACCUUGUUAUGCAUCCCAAAGAACUCUGGUGUUAGAGAAUGCUUUGUUCUCACAUUUUUUGUGUGUGCAUUUUCUUUUCAGGACUAUAUUACUUUCGCAUCCCCUUGUUUCUUUCAGGUACAUACAAUAACUGGUAGUCUUCCUUUUAUUGUUUCAGGUCACAAGAGAU
rnacentral:misc_RNA from 1 species